UCCACUAAAUAAAAAGAAAAAAAAAAAGAGAAGGAAGAAUGGGGAGCAGAGUGAGAGUAAAGAGGGGAAGAAGAGAGAGAGAGAGAGAGAGAGAGCAUCAGGAUGAUCGACACGGCGGAGGGAAGAAGAAAUUGACAGAGGACAUUGGGGGGUGACCUAACCACCAUGAGACCGCCCAUCUCACGUAUAUUCUUCGUAUGAACAUCCAAACGUGAGUUCAUUUUCUUCUUCUUUUGUGAUUCUCUUCCUAAAUAGUUUAAAGUGACAUGUAUUAUGUUUAAAAUAAAUAAAUUAUAGGUUUGCUUGAUUUUAAAUAAAAAACUUAAAUUUAAAUAGAGAGAUAGUGAGAGUAGUUUGGUGUAGUGAGAAAAUGAUAAAAAUUAAGUUAUAUCUAUAUAAAUAUAUAUUUAUCUAGGAUAUAUAUAUGGUAUAUUUCUAUGUAUAUAUUUUAUGCACAUGAGAGAUAUAUAUAAACUAUAAUGAAUAUGUGAAAAUAUAUUUAUUUCCAUGAAUUUUUAUGUAAAUGUAUGAAGGGAAACAAAAAAUAUAUAUUAUAUAUAAAUAUAUAGAUACACUACGUAUAUUUAUUUUUCAUGUGUGUAUAUAUAAACAUAUAUAUAUAUAUACAUAUAAUUAUGUAUAAAUAAAUGCAUGUAUGAAUAUAUAUGAUUGAAAUAAUAUUUUGUAUGCAUGUAUAAUCUUUAUCUUAUAAUAAGUAUUUAUAUAUGUAAACAAUAAUGCAUGAAGG
rnacentral:lncRNA from 1 species